UUACGGUCACAUCAAGUAAAAAACAUCGGAUCCUGUACGCUCACCGAAGUUAAGCAACGUCGAGCCUAGUCAGUAUCUAGAUGGUUGACCGCUUGGAAAUAUCA